UACGUAGGGGGCAAGCGUUGUCCGGAAUCAUUGGGCGUAAAGAGCGUGUAGGCGGCCCGAUAAGUCCGCUGUGAAAGUCCAGGGCUCAACCCUGGAAUGCCGGUGGAUACUGUCGGGCUCGAAUCCGGAAGAGGUGAGUGGAAUUCCUGGUGUAGCGGUGAAAUUCGUAGAUAUCGGGAGGAACACCAGUGGCGAAGGCGGCGACCUGGACGGACAUUGACGCUGAGGAGCGAAAGCCAGGGGAGCAAACGGG
rnacentral:rRNA from 1 species